UCUUUGACCAUUACACUGCAGUUGAAUUGUGUGAAACUGCUAAUUUGUUUGUGUAAUUGAUGUGAGGUAUUUUUCAGGUGCUAUUAAAUCAAUAGAAGUUGUAAUGACAUCAGAAUCAAAAUGCAAACCAAGUCGAGAGCUCAGCGGUGUAAUCAGAGGGUAUUUGAUUUUUUAUAACCUAGCACAAUUGUUUGGAUGGGCAUACCUCUUAUUUCAACUCAUCACUUACUAUGUGGCAGGUCCGAAAGAAGUACCUUUGUGGGGGAUCGUGAAACCGAUUGUUAUGAUUUUUCAGAAUGCAGCUGCUUUAGAGAUCGUCCAUGCUGCCACGAACAUUGUUCCAUCCAAUGUGUUGAUCACAGUGUUCCAGGUGUUUUCACGUGUUUUGGUGGUAUGUGGAGUGUUACUUCCAACCCCAACAGGGCCAGACAGUUCUGGUCUUCCACUUGCUCUGCUUGCAUGGUCAAUCACUGAGGUGAUACGAUACCUGUACUAUGCUCUAAACCUCUUGGGUGCAGUGCCUUACCUCCUGGUGUGGUGUCGGUACACAUUCUUCAUUGCACUGUACCCUAUUGGAGUGAUGGGUGAACUUCUGUGCUUGCAUGCAGCUCAGGCAUAUGUAGGCAGCAAGAAGCUGUGGAGUCUGGAGAUGCCAAACAAACUGAAUCUCACUUUCAGCUACCAUUACUUUCUGCUCUUCAUAAUGUUCUUAUACAUCCCAUUAUUUCCACAGCUCUACCUGCACAUGUUUGCACAGCGCCGGAAACUAAUAUCAGGUGGCACAAGCAAGAAAGUCCAAUGAUAACUGCAAUGAGGCAUGUCUACAACUUUGGGUAUUCUGCUACAGAUUUUCUUAGGAAAUGAAAUGGAUCUUGGGGUUUCCAAAACCUAACAUUGAAACUGAGUCUGAUUUAAGUUUUAUACUCUCUGUAGUGCUGAAAGAUAAACUUGGGGGAUGGCUGACUGUUUGCUUUUAAUAAAAGGAAAGGAUGGCAUAUUUUGUUACAAGAGUGAUCAGAAGAUGUUAAAUAAAUAUUGUAACAUACCAUACUGAUGGAAAGCUUAUAAAUGUUGGCAAGCAGUGGAAUUCUUUAUGCCUGAGCUACUAUUCCAUAUGAAAAAGAGACCCUGGUACGCAGUAGAUAGACUGAUAGGGCCCAAGAGCUGGUGCAGAUGUGACAGAGAGAAAUCCUUGCUAUGAAACAAACCUCAUUCACCCCAUCUGUAACUAGUCCUUUUACUACUGAUGAAGCUAUUCCAUCAUCAGAAUACAUCCAUUUGCUUACAGUUAUACAAGAAUUGCAUAAGUAUGCUGUAUAAACUCUUUAGUCAGAAGAUAAAAGAGUACAAAUAUAUGUGUAAAUCUUUUUAAGUAACUUGUAUAUCCUGUGUUGUGGUAUAUCUGAUCUUGAAGUAGCACUCUCAAAUGCAUUUUCUGUCAUAUGAAACAUGUUAUCACGUACAGUGGUAAAGAUGUGUUAUGACUAGCAUAUAACUAAUGUCACUAAUAUGGUAAAAUCCAUGUAACAAAUUUGAAUUUGAAAGAAAAUUCACAUUGCAAGAAAUGUAGAGAGAUAGUUUAAGUUCACACUUUUGUUUAAUGAUUUGUUGAUGCUGGAAAGUAUGAGUGAUGGGUUGAAAGUAUAAAACAUUUGAUUCUGGUAAGUCAAGGGUAAGCAACCUUUUCAUAGUGUAGGCCACAUUGAAAAGUAUGGAGCUCAUUGCAGGCCAAAUUCAAGUUUUAGUACCCAUUGAUGUAAAACUAUAUAAUUAGCAGUUAAUGUUAAUGGGUUCAAUUAAUUGUAAAAAUUACACUCAUACCUCAUUACAGACAAGCAAUAUAUUCUUGAGUAUUAAGAAAUGUUGAAAUUCACAGUUAGUGUGUUUUGUUUUAUUUUACACUUUUCCAAUGUCCUUGUCAUUUAAAUACAUGAAUAUGAUUACAAAAACAGUAAAAGGAAGUGAAAAUAAGUCAAAAUAAAUGUUAAUCAUGUACAGAAAAAGAGUGUCAUAUUAUAAUAUCAACCAACAUGGCCACUGGACUUGGUUGCAGUAGUUGAAUUUGCAAAUUUGUGAAUUCACAUUCAUGCAAACAUUUUUUGAGCAUAAUUCAAUUUUUAUGUAGUAUGGACAGUUUUGAACUACUCACCAUUCAUGCUUGUCUUUCAUCAGGUCACUCUGAUAUUAGAGGAAUCAACUAUUAAUUCACUUUGCAAAUGUUUGUCUGUAAAUCUGCUCCUAAAGUUUGAUUUAAUAUGCUUCAGUUUUUGAACCAGUUCCUCACAAACAUAGGUAUUCCAGAUAAUGCACUUACACAUAUGGCAUGUCUGUAGAGCUGAGGGGAAUUAUUUCUAGGAGACAAUUUGUAGAUUUUCAAAAGAAAUACGAUCAGAAAUUUUUCUCUUCUUUACCGUCUGGUUUGCAAAUCUAAGAGCUCCACUUGGAAUUUUUCAGGCACUGCCAUAACAUCUAAUUCAAAGGGUGACACAAAUAUUCAGAAAGAUGUUUUAUGUAUUAUAAUGUCUUUGAACCUACAUUUGAACUCUUCCCUCAGAAUGCCAUUAGUUGCAUUGAAGGAUACACAUUUAGCUCUCUCAUUUGAAGUUUGAAGGUAUACUGUAUUUUGUUUUGAUAUGAGCCAGUUUUAAAGAAAACUGUUACAUGCUCCUCCCCCCCCCCCUCCAAACCGCAAAAAAAUUCAAUCCAUGGGCCAUAUGUUGCAUGUCCCUGCUGUAAGUUGUUCUUUAUACAGGCACAUCCAUUAUCACUUUGCAGGGAUACCAGAUUUUGUUCAGAUUUAUGAACCUUGGAAGUGUCCUUAGUUGAAUUCCCAAAGCUGUGGAAGUAUAUUUAGUAUCACACUUUGCUUAAGUGUAUCAGAGCAAGGUAAUUAGGUUAUUUUAUAUUCUAUUUUUAUAUAUUAUAAUGUGGUGGUAUUUAUGUGAGGUAUAUGGGUUCUUAUGUGCAAUAUUAUAUUCUUUCUGGUUACUGCUUUAGUAAUAUAGCUUUUCUCAGAAUUAAAUGUCCAUUUAUGGAGACAGA